CAGUGAUUUAAACCCUCCUGGUAGCGACCAGCAGCCUGAGAGAUGGAUAACUACUCCACUUUGCAACUGCAGUGUCUGGAAAUGACCACGAAGCGGAAGCUGAUUGGCCGGCUGGUGCCGUGCCGUUGUUUCCGUGGCGAGGAGGAAGUGAUCUCGGUGCUGGACUACUCUCACUGCAGCCUGCAGCAGGUCCCCAAAGAAAUCUUCAGCUUCGAGAGAACUCUGGAGGAGCUCUACCUCGACGCCAACCAGAUCGAGGAACUACCCAAGCAACUCUUUAACUGCCAGGCCUUGAAGAAGCUGAGCAUGCCCGACAACGACCUGUCCAACCUGCCCACCACCAUCGCCAGCCUGGUCAACCUCAAAGAGCUGGACAUCAGUAAAAAUGGUAUCCAGGAGUUUCCAGACAAUAUCAAAUGCUGUAAAGGUCUGUCUGUGGUGGAGGCCAGUGUCAACCCUAUCACCAAACUCCCCGAUGGUUUCACGCAGCUCCUGAAUCUGACCCAGCUCUUCUUAAACGAUGCCUUCCUGGAGUAUCUGCCGGCGAACUUUGGCAGACUCUCCAAACUACGGAUCCUGGAGCUGAGAGAGAACCACCUGAAAACCAUGCCAAAGUCUAUCCACAGACUGACACAGUUGGAAAGGUUGGAUCUGGGUAGCAACGAAUUCUCUGAAGUGCCAGAGGUGUUGGAGCAAAUCCACAACUUAAGGGAGCUGUGGAUGGACAACAACUCUCUACAGUCUAUACCAGGGUCGUUAGGGAAGCUCCGUCAGUUGCGAUACCUGGACUUAGCUAAGAAUCGAAUUGAGUCGUUGGACACGGAUGUUUCAGGCUGCGAGUGCUUAGAGGACCUGCUGCUGUCCUCCAACAUGCUGCAGCAACUCCCUGACUCUAUAGGAAUGUUGAAGAAGCUGACAACACUGAAGGUGGAUGACAACCAGCUGAACUCACUGCCUAACACCAUCGGGAGUGCGAAGCCCAAGCACGGUCUGUCUCUGUUGGAGGAGUUGGACUGUAGUUGUAAUGAGUUGGAGUCGUUGCCUCCCACCAUCGGGUACCUGCACAACCUGAGGACCUUCGCUGCCGACGAGAACUUCCUCUCAGAGCUGCCCCGGGAGAUCGGUAACUGUAAGAACGUGACGGUAAUGUCGCUGCGGUCCAACAAACUGGAGUUUCUACCUGACGAGAUCGGACAGAUGACCAAACUACGAGUUCUUAAUCUGAGUGACAACAGGUUAAAGAAUCUACCGUUUACCUUCGCUAAGCUGAAGGACCUGGCAGCUCUGUGGCUUUCUGACAAUCAGUCCAAGGCUCUGAUCCCUCUGCAGACAGAAGCCCACCCAGAAACCAAACAGAAGGUUUUGACCAACUACAUGUUUCCUCAGCAACCACGACAUGAUGAGGAUUACCAGUCGGACAGUGACAGCUUCAAUCCCACCCUGUGGGAGGAGCAGAGGCAGCAGAGGAUGACCGUGGCUUUCGACUUCGAGGACAAGAAAGAAGAGGAGGACAACUCUGGGAAGGUCAAGGUGGAGAUCAACCUGAAGCGCUACCCAACACCUUACCCUGAGGACCUGAAGAACAUGGUCAAGUCAGUGCAAAGCCUUGUGGGUAAAAACGUACACGCCGGACACGGGCACCAGCACCAGCACCAGCAUCAGCACCAGCACCAGCACCCGCACCAGCACCCGCACCAGCACCAGCUGAGCACAGGCACUGCCACCUCGGCAGGAACCAACAUGGAACACACGCACCUCAGCAAAGAACCGUACGAGCCACCGUGGCCGCUACCACCUAAAGAGGUGACGGACAGAGAGAUGCAGGACUUCUCUCAGGCUCAGCUCAUGGAUCAGGGAUCAAUGCAUAACUCCGGCAUCGACAUUCCCAAGAGGAAAGACAAAGAGGAUCUGACAGAGAGCUCAGAGGACUCGAUGGGCGGCUCCCCCAACGACAUCCGCAUCUCUGACAUGAGGCCCACGCUGGUGGAGCCGCCCAUGUACAAACCAAAGGUGGUGCUGCUGGGCAAAGACAAGAAAGAAUCUACCGAUGAGGAGAUGGAUAAGCUCCACUGUCUGAACCACAGCGGCUCCUCGGCCACCUACUCCGACUACUCCCCCUCACAGGGCUCCUCGGGCUCCUCCAACCCUCCCGCCAACGCACAUUCGCACCAACACUCUCACACACACGCACACCCUCACCCGCACCCACACCCGCACGCACACCCUCACCCGCACCCCCACCCGCACCCGCAUCCGCAGCUCCCGCACAAUCAAACUCACCCUCCCGUCCUGCCGGCCCCCAGCAAGGACCAGGCCCCCCAGACACACUGGACCAACAGACUGGCUCAAUCGUUCCCCAAGCCCAUUGAUUCCAAGCCCCUGCUAUCUCAGAGAGAAACCCCUCCAUCGGGAACCCUGCAGCAGCGUGGGGAUCGACGCCCGCUCAGCGAGCCUUUCGACUGGGCUGAGGCUCCUCACUACGACAACACAGGUUUCGAUGCCGAGGAGUCUCCUCUGGACCCUUCGUCCGGGACAAGUCAGGGAAACCCUUCGCUGGGCUCCAAGCCCCGCAGCCAGUCGACACAUGGGCGCCGCCCGCUCCUCAGGCAAGAGAGAAUUGUAGGAGUUCCUCUGGAGCUGGACACCCAGACGCUGCCCUACCACAGCAACCAACGUCCCCCCCAAGACAAUGACCCGCAAUCCUCCGCACAUUCCCAGAAUCCUUGGCAGAAUUGGACCCGAACUCCGAGCCCGCUGGAGGACAGGACCGCCUUUCCAUCCAAGCUGGACCUGACACCCACCUCCAGCCCAAACCCCGACCGUAAGGAUAGGCUGGACCAAGGAGGAGGGGGUUUGCCUGGCAGCUGGACGUACCACGACAAUCAGGGCGAGCAGAACAGGAAGGAUCAGCUCAGCGUCAGCGGGGGCAACAAGGUGACGGUGGUGAUGAGCAAAAGCUCGGACCGCCUGUCCCCCAUGAUGAAAGAGACGAGGUCCAAGUUCAAGAAGUCACAAAGCAUUGAUGAGAUUGAUAUUGGCUCCUAUAAGGUCUACAGUAUUCCCAUGGACAGCUACAGUUCAUCCAUCGAGCAGCAGACCAGUUUGGACCGUCAGGAUCUACCCGGGUCUAUGGAGCAGACCAACAUGUCCCGAUCACAAUCGGCCCCCAUGUUAGAUGAUGAGCUGGGCUUCUCCGGACAAAACCAAAAACCUGCCAUCCCACAUAAAGCCUACCACUUCGACCAGAACUACAAUCCCCAGGUGACCAUGGACCGUCGGGUCCCUCCUCCCUUCCCCAACACACCGGAUUACGUCAACCACGCAUCCAAGGCCUUGGAGUACAUAAACCAGCCAGGGAAGACGUUACCGAAGGAGCUGGUGAGCCCUCGGUAUCGUGCGUAUCCGCCGCUGGAGAUGUUUUCUUUCCCCCAGUCGCCAAUCAGCCCGGACGGACCGCCCAGCCAGCAGCAGCAGCCAAUCCCAACGCAGCGCUCCAGGCCAGGGUUUCUGAGGAGAGCGGAUUCGCUGGUGAGCUCCACAGAGCUCGCCUUGUUCCGCAGAGUCCAUGAAGCCCAGCAGGAGGCGCUGCAGGAGGCUCAGUACAGACAGCAGGCGGACCCCCCUCUUUACAGUCGGGCUCUUGCCUACUCCAGCCCCAUGGACCACUCGGCUCUCACCAACAUGGUCGACAGCCAGGGCCAGAUGAUGCACAACAAGAGAAAUGGUCGCUAUGAUGACGACUAUCCCACCUACCAGGAGCAGAAGAAGCCCAUGAUUGGUUACCCGACAAAGAGCCUGACUCAGCGACGCCCCCUGUCUGCCAGGAGCUAUAGCACUGAGACCUACGGAGCAUCUCAGGCCCGUCCAGUGUCAGCUCGUCCCACCAUGGCCGCCCUGCUGGAGAAGAUGCCCCCUGACUACACCCUGGCAACUUGCCCCGAGAAACCACUAGACGACACCAUCAAAGUUAGACCUGGGGUGCCACUGAAACCCGAAGACAUCACCUCCAAGAUGCCUGCAGACUGGAGGCAACAGCUACUCAGGCACAUAGAGGCCAAGCGAUUGGACAGGAGUGGUGUCCUAAAGCACAACACGCUCACGCUGGGCAUGCUCUGUCAGGGUCACAGCCAGGGGCGCAGCAGCACUUUGAACUUUAACCUUUACAAUAACACUAAGCAUGAGCCCCCUGCUGGCCGCUGGCUGCCACUGCCUCCUCCUCCGUCUGCUAACGCCACCCCCUCUCAGCAAGCCGCCAUGCUGGAUAAUGACCAGGAGGGGGUGUCAGGGAGCAACCAGUGGGCUCCUUACUCACUUGGCAGGAGAGACGUCCCCCCCGACAACCUCAUGAAAAAGAGCGCCCACUCCCACAACACGUCCCACCAAUCACACAACACCAUGAUCGUAACUUCCUCUUCCUCCUCCUCCUCCACCACGCCUCACCGCGUGGUCGGGCCGCAGGGUUACGACGGGAUGAUGAGUAAGGGAAACCAGUACCAACCAGGGAUGCCCCUGUCAGUGGUUCCCUCUGGGGGGCCUGGGCAGUACCAAGGCAACAUGUCUCAAGGCCUCCCCUCCCCUGGUCAGUCAUACUCCAGCAGCGGCCUGCCCAUGGCCCUGUCCCCGUCCGGGAACCAGCCCCAGUACAACCCCCACUCCUCCCACAGCUCCCAUCAGUCCUCCUUGCCCGCCACAAACCCCCAGUACCACGGCAACCAGGGCAUGGUCCACAGCAACCAGGGCAUGGUCCACAGCAACCAGGGCAUGGUCCACAGCAACCAGGGCAUGGUCCACAGCAACCAGGGCAUGGUCCAUAGCAACCAGGUCAUCAUGUCCACCCACACCAACCCGCGGCCUCAGAGCGCUCGCUGCCUGUUGCAGACUAAAGGGCAGAAGAGCACGGAUGGUUUCCAGGAACAGAUGUGUGUGAGAAUAGAGAAGAACCCUGGUCUUGGUUUCAGUAUCUCUGGUGGCAUCAGUGGCCAGGGGAACCCCUUCAAGCCCUCCGACAUGGUACGACCCGACCCGGCCCGGCCUCCCGCCAGCCAAUCACAUCCUCCCCGCCGGCUUUCCCUCAGUGUUGCCAUGGAAACUGCUGCUCGUUACCGCAGUGUUUCGUCUCCCUCUGUUGUGUCUGUCAAUCCGCGGGGCAGCAGUUGACUUGGUUAACUUUGCUUUUUACGAUAAACAAAAGUUGAACUGACUUAUAGACUCUGAUUUCUCGUACAUUUGUAAAAUACAACACAACUAAACACUUUUGAAACACUAUAAAAACCUUUGACAGCAUCAGAAGAGAGGAUGGAAUAAGUCAAACGUGAUAUAAAAGCACCUGUUUGAUCCUCAACGACACAUUUAUGCAUCUGCACAUGACGCACGGGGUAAUUUGAUAUGUUUAUUUCAUCCUCACAGCCUCCUCGAGGUCUCUAGAAAAGAAGGAAAACUUAAAUAGUUGAAUAUUUUCCUAUAGAUUCUUGCUCACGUGCAGGCGUAACGUCUCAAGCCGGGCCUGACACUUUUUCAUCAUCUCUACCUGUGCAGCGUGUGGCUGCUGUCCGUCACUGCGUGUCCAUGUGUUGGGGUUGCACAUCCCUCAGGCCUCCUGCACAUGGCAGCUCGGCCUAGAAACAUGCUGCUGUGCUCUACAGUGUAAAGGAGCGAGGCUGCACACGGGGCUAUUUUAGGAAGGCUGCUCGGUUCUGGGACACCGUGGGUGAUUGUUCUUUUUUAGAUGCAGCGCAAGACUUUGAUCUCGGGAUGGGAAGUAUGACAGAUUUUCACCGACUUGCUCUGACUUCAGAUGUCGAGCAGCUGAGUAGCUGACGAGACGGCCGGUCUAAAAAUAGAAGAAGCCUACAGGAGUUUGUCUUAACGUCCCGCGUGAGGAACGGUGAAUUAAUUUAAGUCGUGGGCGUGAGGCGAUGCUAUAGAAAGUGUCAGAUCAUCGUUUAACUUUAAUCUGGAGAACACGACCGUAGUGACUCAGUUGCUGACUCGAACGGUUCAUUAAAUCUUUCCUGUCUCCCCUCGAAUCCAUAAAGUUCCCACCUGCCGCUGCAGUUUGUCCAUUAUUAAUGUCACACCGGCAGCAAGUGGAGUCGAUGCACACGAGCAGGUUCUCAAGUGAUCCUGCUAAAUAUUUUCUUAAAUAAUUACGUCACUUUUCUUCGCCGUCUUUACGAUAGCGUAAAAAAACAGGGAUGGUGAGUCAGCUGCUGAGCCUCUGGGUAUCUGCAGUGAUGUCAGCUAAUGUGGAUUUUCCACAAAGUACGAUAUCACAGUGGAUAUUUGACUUUCAAACUUGACAAGAUACUAGAAAUCGUCCUUUGUCCUUGCACCAGUUCACCUUGUGUCUGCUCUGUAGUUCUCCCAGUCUGGACGUAGUAGUGAGGUCAUCGAAGCGUUCUCUCAAGUCUUAUCAAGGAGCUGAUUCGUCAGCACUUUUAACUCAAAUAGAUGCUGAUGCCUUUGAUUGUGGUUUGAUUGUCAGACUCACGAGAACUCAUUUCGUUUUCACUGAGGCGCUUGUGACUAUUUUAGUUUCAGUGGACGUUCAUAUCCAGGCUGAAGAUCACACACACACACACAUUGUUCUAAUGUUAUUUUAAUGUGAUAAAUGGCAGACACAAGACUCAAAGCUUAAAAUUGGAUCAAAACAGAUUGACUGAUACAUUUUACACACACAUUUGUGGUUGUGACCUCGAGAGCCGAGCACAGCUGUUCAACAGGAUUGUGUCUCCGCCUUGUGGCCGGCGUUGUUGCUUGCACCCAUCCUCUGAUUUAUCUCAGGAAAAUACUUGUUCCCAGAUAAUUAACGACUGAUGUAUUUGUAAAACACUUGAUUUAAAAUUAAUGUUGGAUCUAUGGAGGAUCACGAGUGUCACAUAAAUGGUAAUAAAGCAUUUUAUUAAUUAAUGAUAAAUUGUACAAUGAAAAUAAGAAUUGAUAAGUGUGUUAAUUUUUAAAUAAAUAGACAAAAGAUUAUUUGAUAUUUGAGGCGCUGAUAUUUUGGGGAAUCGUUUAUAGAUGCAUAUUACAAUUGUUAUUAAUGAAUAAGAUUCUUCUUAUUACCAUCUCUGUUACACUUGUGGCCCAUGAAGCAGAAUCAUCUGCAAAUUGAAAUGUCUGAUUGAAUUGGAGAACCUGUUAUAUCUUUCAUAAUUUUCAUGUUUUUCUUGUUUUCUUACGGAAAAUUUUGCCUUUUGUGUUGGUUUUGCCACUAAAUUCUUCUUUUGAAAUGAAUGGAAAUAGCCUGAAUUUGUAUCUACAAAAAGACAAUAUUUUAGCGUUACAACAUCUGUAAUUGUAGCUCACAUCAUCCUUGGUAUUCUAUUUUAUUUUAUUUCAAACAACAAACUGAUUUGGCUUUUAUCCUCAACCUAAAGAUCUGAUGUCUUUUUCAUAAUCUAACACAAAAACUAAAUGAGUUUAAUUGAAGUUUUACCAAACAAAUGACUCAGAACAGAGUUUCUGUGCCACAUUAUGUCUGACAGUUUCAAAAACUUCCCCAAUGAGAGACCCAUUGUAAAAACCAGAGCCAGAAGUCAUUAUCAGGUUGCAUCUUAUAUGUUUGACCUGAAUGACGAGCUGUGACACUCAGGGUCUGACAGCGACUGACGGAGGAGGGAGACCCCGGGCUUUGAUGGAUUCACUCAGUUUAGGACCAGAAGUCAGAGUUUGAAGGAGCAGAACAUGGAUUGAAAGUUUGAAAAUCUGAUUUUCUGCUCCUGGAUAGUAAAUCCAACGCUGUCUUUGCACACCGAGCUGCUGUCGAUAACAAACCCACUUAUCAACUGUCAAUGUUUGGAGACAAGUGUGUGUACGUGUUAUCGCUGAGCUGCAAAAACUUCAUCCUCAGUAUUGUCCUUUUUUUACUUUUUACUCAUAAACUAAUAUUGUCUGCACUUGUGUAAAAAGAUUCUGUGCUUGCGAUCAAAAUGAGUCAAACAAUACUCUGAGGAAUUCAUCAUUUAUUUAUAUAAUGCAUAUAAAUGAAUGUUGAAGUUUCUGCAGGAGGCUGCCGCUCCGUGUGCAACAGCUUUGACAAUCUGUAAAUGUUUGGUUGUUGUGACUAACGCUGCUCAGGUUGUAGCUGCUAACAAACUCAUCUGUGACGUACAGUGAGCUCCAUAUGUGAGCGACAGGUCUGAAAGGAUGAAGUAAUAAACUGGCCACUUCCAAACUACAAUCACUGAAGUCCCGGUUUUAUACAUAAAUUGGAUUUAUCCGCCACUUUGUGCACUAAAUUAAUAUUCAUGGCCACUUCAUCAGAAGUAUUUUGCUUGUGUACUUGUAUGAGGCUCACUGUAUAAAAACGCUUUAUACCGUGAACAAUAACUCGACUAAUUCUUCUAACACGUGCACUUCUCUGACGUGUGUGUGUGUGUGUGUGUGUGUUUUCCUGUUCUCACUCCUGUAGUAUGUAGGUGCUGCUGCACUGUCACUGCAUCACAUCAUUCUUGGCUAACCGCCACAUAUAUCUGUUUAACUCACUAUUGUGUCUUCAACACGUGCACAACACUGUUGACACAUGUUGAGUCGACACGGCUGCAUUGUCUCACACUCUCUGUGUCCCAAAAAAAAACAUCUUUCAGCUCCCGGUGAAAAGAUGUUGGUGUUUUUACAAUCUCUGCCUUGGGUUAUCGAGGGAAAAACAAAAAAACAAAAAGAAUAGGGGGGGGAUGAAAUAUCUUCUGGCCUCCCUGCGACCUACUUCUUUCCCCUUUAGUCAGAACUCAUCCAACAGCAAUUCCUAUUCCCCUUUACUGUAUUUAUCUAUUUUUCUCUCUUUCUAACCUCAUGUCUACAUAAAAAAAGUCCUUAUCUCUACUUAAAGAGCUGAUAAAAUGUCUUUUUUGGAGGAAUUUAAUAGUCAAUUUUAAGAGAGAUGCAAAUAACAAGUAAACCCAAGUACCUUAAAUGGCAAAAAAAAUUGUUAUUAUGAAUUUCUGGCAAUUUUAUUUGCAACAUUUGCAUGCCUCUCCAAAUUUUUGGGGGCAGAAAUGUGAUUUUUUAUUUUGUGGGGGGGUGGGUGGCUACUGAGCUGAGAAUGAGAAAGGCAAAGAUUCUAAACCAUCGUGUCCCUGUGUCGUCCUAACGGUGUAUCAUUUUGACUUAUAGGGUAUCUUUGUUACUAGGGUACAGCAUGACGGGCCCGCCACCUCCGCCCUGCAGCCUGGAGACAAGAUACUGCAGCAUGACUGUGUAGCUCCUCCUCUUCUCUCUCUUUUCCCCAACAGUGAUGUGUUAC